UCGACCUCUCAACUCAUUUCCUUGUUGAUUUUUGCCGGAGGCUGGAGUAGGUACCGUUUGACCCCUGCAGACCCAGCCAUCUUCCUGUAACGCUGGGCAACGGUGAUGUGUAUUUACAGAGUGUACGCCAUCGAGUGAGAGCAGAAGUGACAUGCGUGGAGACAAACAAAUAGAAAACCCGCAAGCGGUUGCCGUGGGAGCCAGACAGAUGUUAGUGAUACCUCACUAAGGGGCACCUGGAGAGUCUCCUGAAUGCUCAUUGGUUGAGGGCUCCAACUGUAAAGGAAAGCCAAUCAGAUGGCAGGACAAAGCAGGCAGGAUCCACGAAGAACCAACAGUUUUUUCCGCCAUUUUGUUUGCACAGGGAAAGAACAGUCAC